UGCGGUGUGGGAUGGGCCCGCGGCCUAUCNNCUUGUUGGUGGGGUANUGGCCUACCAAGGCGACNACNGGUAGCCGGCCUGAGAGGGUGACCGGCCACACUGGGACUGAGAUACGGCCCNNACUCCUACGGGAGGCAGCAGUGGGGAAUAUUGCACAAUGGGCGCAAGCCUGAUGCANCGACNCCNCGUGAGGGAUGACNGCCUUCNGGUUGUAAACCUCUUUCNNUANGGACNAANNGCANGUGACGGUNCCUAUAGAAGAAGGACCGGCCAACUACGUGCCAGCAGCCGCGGUAAUACGUAGGGUCCGAGCGUUGUCCGGAAUUACUGGGCGUAAAGAGCUCGUAGGUGGUUUGUCGCGUUGUUCGUGAAANCUCACAGCUUAACUGUGGGCGUGCGGGCGAUACGGGCAGACUAGAGUACUGCAGGGGAGACUGGAAUUCCUGGUGUAGCGGUGGAAUGCGCAGAUAUCAGGAGGAACACCGGUGGCGAANGCGGGUCUCUGGGCAGUAACUGACGCUGAGGAGCGAAAGCGUGGGGGAGCGAACAGGAUUAGAUACCCUGGUAGUCCACGCCGUAAACGGUGGGUACUAGGUGUGGGUUUCCUUCCUUGGGAUCCGUGCCGUAGCUAACGCAUUAAGUACCCCGCCUGGGGAGUACGGCCGC
rnacentral:rRNA from 1 species